rnacentral:rRNA from 1 species
CACGCCGUAAACGAUGGGUACUAGGUGUAGGAGGUAUCGACCCCUUCUGUGCCGCAGCUAACGCAUUAAGUACCCCGCCUGGGGAGUACGGCCGCAAGGUUGAAACUCAAAGGAAUUGACGGGGGCCCGCACAAGCGGUGGAGCAUGUGGUUUAAUUCGACGCAACGCGAAGAACCUUACCAGGGCUUGACAUCCUUUGAAUCCCGAUGAAAAUUGGGAGUGUCCCUUCGGGGAAGCAAAGAGACAGGUGG